UCUGAUAAAACGGAUAGAAGAUCUUGGAUCACAGCCAACUUCUGAUGUAAAGGAAAAGGUGUUGGGCAAGGCCCUGUUCCCAAGGGCGGUGCUGGCUCGCUCACCUCUGUUCUUGGAUGCCACACUGUGCAGCCUGAGGGCUUUGACUUGCUGUGAAGUAUUGGGCAUUUCUCUCUAUGGUUCUUUUUCAUCAGGCAUCCUGGAGCCCAUGCACCUUAAACUUUGCCAGCCUCUGCUGGCCCUGAUCCCUUGUCUCUCAGGACACAGCUCAAAUACCACCUCCUCCAGCUCACCUCACGCCCACCAUUUGGCAAGUCCUAAGUUCUUGUCCUGCAUCCAGGAAGAAUGAGGUAUGCGGACAACUGGAGGGUGAACAAGGUGGAAAGGAGCUUUAUUGAGUGACAGAACAGCUCUUGGGAGACCCAAAGUGGGUGGCUCCUAUCUGCAGGCAGGUCAUCCCAGUGAAUGUCCAGCUCUCAGUGGAGAGGAGACCCAGAGUGGGCAGCUCCUAUUCGCAGCCCUUGGAAUCAGCCCUGGUUCCUUUUAAAGAAGAAUGAUUUUUAGAAAACAAGAUCUGGAUGCUAGGUAUAUUCUUUGGCUUUGAAGUUCCCCAUUCCCAGAUCCUCUCAUGGACAGAGCUUGAGAAUAGUCAUGUGGAAGCACCAGGAUCCCAUUCCUACCACUGAAAUUAAACAAAUGAAAAAAAAUUAGCAUGAAAUUCUUUGUGCGUGGACAGUGACCUGAGAAGACAAUAAGACAUUUCAAAGCAUUGAGUUAAGGAUAAUGAAGUUUAUAAAAUCUAGUGGCAAGAUAUAGCUGACUCUUGACACAGACAGAGGAAAGGCCAUGUGAGACACAGCAAGAAAGUGACCAUCUGCAAGCCAGGAAGGAGACGUUUUUUGGUUUUGGUUCCUCACCAGGAACCAAAUUAAAUGCCACCUUGAUCUUGGACUUCCAAGCCUCCAGAACUGUGAGAAAUAAAUGUAUGUUGCUUAAGCCACCCAGUCUAUGGUAUUUUGUUACGGCAGCCUGAGCUAAAAAAGACAUUUAGGUUGUUUCUACAUUUUCACUAUUAUGAACAUAUUGUAUUUCACAUAUUGUAUAUGUGAACACUCAUAUACAAGUUUUUAUGUGGACAUAUGUUUUUAUUUCAUUCAUUCAUAUAUACUUUGGAGUGAGAUUUCUGGGUCACAUGGUUUAGUAUUUUGAGGAAGUGUUUUUUG
rnacentral:lncRNA from 1 species